GCCGGUUUGGCGGAGCAGCUACGCGACAGACUGCAAAUCUGUUCUACCUGGGUGCAAAUCCCAGAGCCGGCUCCA
rnacentral:tRNA from 1 species